rnacentral:rRNA from 1 species
AGAGUUUGAUCCUGGCUCAGGAUGAACGCUGGCGGCGUGCUUAACACAUGCAAGUCGAACGAAGCGAUAGAGAACGGAGAUUUCGGUCGAAGUUUUCUAUUGACUGAGUGGCGGACGGGUGAGUAACGCGUGGGUAACCUGCCCUAUACAGGGGGAUAACAGUUAGAAAUGACUGCUAAUACCGCAUAAGCGCACAGCUUCGCAUGAAGUGGUGUGAAAAACUGAGGUGGUAUAGGAUGGACCCGCGUUGGAUUAGCUAGUUGGUGAGGUAACGGCCCACCUAGGCGACGAUCCAUAGCCGGCCUGAGAGGGUGAACGGCCACAUUGGGACUGAGACACGGCCCAAACUCCUACGGGAGGCAGCAGUGGGGAAUAUUGCACAAUGGGGGAAACCCUGAUGCAGCGACGCCGCGUGAAGGAAGAAGUAUCUCGGUAUGUAAACUUCUAUCAGCAGGGAAGAAAGUGACGGUACCUGACUAAGAAGCCCCGGCUAAUUACGUGCCAGCAGCCGCGGUAAUACGUAAGGGGCAAGCGUUAUCCGGAUUUACUGGGUGUAAAGGGAGCGUAGACGGUUUGGCAAGUCUGAUGUGAAAGGCAUGGGCUCAACCUGUGGACUGCAUUGGAAACUGUCAGACUUGAGUGCCGGAGAGGCAAGCGGAAUUCCUAGUGUAGCGGUGAAAUGCGUAGAUAUUAGGAGGAACACCAGUGGCGAAGGCGGCCUGCUGGACGGUAACUGACGUUGAGGCUCGAAAGCGUGGGAAGCAAACAGGAUUAGAUACCCUGGUAGUCCACGCUGUAAACGAUGAA